GACGAACGCUGGCGGCGUGCUUAACACAUGCGAGUCGAACGGAAAGGCCCUGCUUUUGUGGGGUGCUCGAGUGGCGAACGGGUGAGUAACACGUGAGUAACCUGCCCUUGACUUUGGGAUAACUUCAGGAAACUGGGGCUAAUACCGGAUAGGAGCUCCUGCUGCAUGGUGGGGGUUGGAAAGUUUCGGCGGUUGGGGAUGGACUCGCGGCUUAUCAGCUUGUUGGUGGGGUAGUGACUUACCAAGGCUUUGACGGGUAGCCGGCCUGAGAGGGUGACCGGCCAAAUUGGGACUGAAAUACGACACGGACUCCUCAGGGAGGCAGCAGUGGGGUAUGUUGCACUAUAGGCGGAAGCCUGGUGCAGCAACGCCCCGUGCGGGAAGACGGCCUUCGGGUUGGAAACCACUUUCGCCUGUGACGAGGCGUGAGUGACGGUAAUGGGUGAAGAAGCACCGGCUAACUACGUG
rnacentral:rRNA from 1 species